rnacentral:rRNA from 1 species
GACGAACGCUGGCGGCGUGCUUAACACAUGCAAGUCGAACGGGGCUGCCCUGUUUUUUGCGGGGUGGGUCAGUGGCGAACGGGUGAGUAACACGUGAGUAACCUGCCCCUCACUUCUGGAUAACCGCUUGAAAGGGUGGCUAAUACGGGGUGUUCUGGCUGUGCCGCAUGGUGUGGCUGGGAAAGAUUCACUUUUGUGGUGUUUUGGUGGGGGAUGGGCUCGCGGCCUAUCAGCUUGUUGGUGGGGUGAUGGCCUGCCAAGGCUUUGACGGGUAGCCGGCCUGAGAGGGUGGGCGGUCACACUGGGACUGAGAUACGGCCCAGACUCCUGCGGGAGGCAGCAGUGGGGGGUAUUGCACAAUGGGCGGAAGCCUGAUGCAGCGACGUCGCGUGCGGGAUGGAGGCCUUCGGGUUGUGAACCUCUUUCGCCGGUGAAGAAGGUCCUGCUCUUUGUGGUGGGGUUGACGGUAGCCGGGUUAUGAAGCGCCGGCUAACUACGUG